rnacentral:rRNA from 2 species
GGCGGCGGACGGGUGAGUAAUGCCUAGGAAUCUGCCUGGUAGUGGGGCACAACGUUUCGAAAGGAACGCUAAUACCGCAUACGUCCUACGGGAGAAAGCAGGGGACCUUCGGGCCUUGCGCUAUCAGAUGAGCCUAGGUCGGAUUAGCUAGUUGGUGAGGUAAUGGCUCACCAAGGCGACGAUCCGUAACUGGUCUGAGAGGAUGAUCAGUCACACUGGAACUGAGACACGGUCCAGACUCCUACGGGAGGCAGCAGUGGGGAAUAUUGGACAAUGGGCGAAAGCCUGAUCCAGCCAUGCCGCGUGUGUGACGAAGGUCUUCGGAUUGAAAAGCACUUUAAGUUGAGAGGAAGGCCAGUGAGCGAAUACCUUGCUGUUUUGACGUUACCGACAGAAUAAGCACCGGCUAACUCUGUGCCAGCGGCCGCGGUAAUACAGAGGGUGCAAGCGUUAAUCGGAAUUACUGGGCGUAAAGCGCGCGUAGGUGGUUCUGUUCAGUUGAAUGUGAAAGCCCCGGGCUCAACCUGGUAACUGCAUCCAAAACUGGCGAGCUAGAGAAGGGCAGAGGGUGGCGGAAUUUCCUGUGAAGCGUUGAACUGCGUGGAUAUAGGAAGGAACACCAGUGGCAAAGGCGACCACCAUGGCUCAUACUGACACUGAGGUGCGACAGCGUGGGCAGCAAACAGGAUUAGAUACCCUGUUAGUCCACGCC